UACGUAGGUGACCAGCGUUGUCCGGAUUUACUGGGCGUAAAGAGCGCGCAGGCGGUCGUUCAAGUCGAGUGUGAAAGCCCCCGGCUCAACUGGGGAGGGUCACUCGAUACUGAUCGACUUGAAGGCAGGAGAGGGAAGCGGAAUUCCCGGUGUAGUGGUGAAAUGCGUAGAUAUCGGGAGGAACACCAGUGGCGAAGGCGGCUUCCUGGACUGUUACUGACGCUGAGGCGCGAAAGCGAGGGGAGCAAACGGG
rnacentral:rRNA from 1 species